rnacentral:rRNA from 1 species
GACGAACGCUGGCGGCGUGCUUAACACAUGCAAGUCGAACGGAAAGGCCCUGCUUUUGUGGGGUGCUCGAGUGGCGAACGGGUGAGUAACACGUGAGUAACCUGCCCUUGACUUUGGGAUAACUUCAGGAAACUGGGGCUAAUACCGGAUAGGAGCUCCUGCUGCAUGGUGGGGGUUGGAAAGUUUCGGCGGUUGGGGAUGGACUCGCGGCUUAUCAGCUUGUUGGUGGGGUAGUGGCUUACCAAGGCUUUGACGGGUAGCCGGCCUGAGAGGGUGACCGGCCACAUUGGGACUGAGAUACGGCCCCGACUCCUACGGGAGGCAGCAGUGGGGAAUAUUGCACAAUGGGCGGAAGCCUGAUGCAGCAACGCCGCGUGCGGGAUAACGGCCUUCGGGUUGUAAACCGCUUUCGCCUGUGACGAAGCGUGAGUGACGGUAAUGGGUAAAGAAGCACCGGCUAACUACGUG